rnacentral:tRNA from 1 species
GGAAAGAUGAUCGAGUGGUUUAAGAUAUAGCAGUGGAAAUGCUAUGUAGACUUUUUGUUUACCAAGGGUUCGAAUCCCUUUCUUUCCG